GGACGCCUUGAUGCGGUGGCCAGGGGCCUACCAGGAUGUCUCAGGGCUUGAACAGCGCACAUCUCACUUGUCUGCAGCAAGAUGGCUGCGUUAUUCCUGUGCAUUGUUUCAGAUGUCUAAUGUCACAGUUGAAAGAUGUACAGUGCUAAACCCGGCGACAUUGUUACCUACACCUGAUGAAGGUACACCACAUUGUUGUUUGUCUGCCCUACGGGAAGUAUGCACACCAAGGCCUGACCUUGCUGACACACCCAUACCUAAAUGCACCCUCACAUAUUAUGUGGAUGGUUCCUCUUCCAGAGAUGACAGAGGCAUAGAUAGGAUGGGGUGGGCAGUUGUGUCUGACUUUGAAGUAGUGAAAUCCGGAUGCUUACCACCUCAGAAAUCUGCAAAGGUGGCUGAAUUGCAUGCACUAACACAAGCUUGUCAACUUGCUACUAAUCAAUCUAUAACCAUUUACAUUGACUGCUGAUUUUACUGACAGUUUCUCUCCUAUAACAAAUUUUACUCCUUUCUCAAAUAGCUGUGUGCAAAUGCAAAGCACACACCAAGGAACAGGACGUGAUCUCCAGAGGAAAUGCACGCACGGAUGCGGAAGCAUCUCUCAUGACUACUAACAAAAACGUUUCUCUUACACAGAUUUCCCAGGAAAAGGAAGCCGAAACACCACAGGAGUUACUAAUAAGCAUGCAAACAUUUUCUCUUCCAACAGAAAUAGCUCUAUGGAAAUCGUGUGGAGCAACCAAAACUCCUGAAGGGAUUUGGAUGGGUCCAAAUCAAAAACCUUGCUUACCUAAACAUUUUUAUUCCCAUUUUGCUAGGUUGACACAUGGGGACCACGGUGACAUGCGAUACUCUUCAAAAUGAAAAUGACAUGUUGCAAUAUUGUAUUUCUAUGUCCUCUGUAUUUCAAAAUAUCUCCAAAGCAGGUUAAAUCAGCCCUACCCCGUCCAGUAGAAGAACCAUUACACAACAUCAAACCAGGGGAUUACGUGGUGGUAAAGAACCUCAGGAGGAAAUCCUGGAAAGCCAGACGGUGGGAGGGGCCAUUUCAGAUUCUGCUGACGACUCACACCGCUGUGAAGGUCACGGAGCGUGCCACCUGGGUGCACGUUGCCCAUUGCCGGAGGGUUGGUCCGGGACUGCAAGGUGUAAACCAAAGGGAGGACGGCUAGUCGACUGCUACGGACCACUUUUUCGUAUUGGUGGGAACCACAGAUACCUGUAUACUGCAAGUUUAUACAAAGAACGACACGAGAGAACUGCAACAGCUCACAAAGUAUUGGAGGACGACUCCAGUAUUCUGGGUUUGGUUUGGACACACGCACACGACAUCUUUAAUGAUAGCUUGGCACGACUGCACCGUGUGGUCCUACCAAACCCGAACCUACAAAGGAAAUUAAUCAACAAGGGCUCACGACCCCAACUCUAACUGUGCUCAGGGCUCACAACCCCAACUCUAACUGUGCUCAGGGCUCACGACCCCAACUCUAACUGUGCUCAAUCCGGAAUCAUCAAGGGCUCACGACCCCAACUCUAACUGUGCUCAAUUUCUUCAAGAAAACGAACUAUUUUCUUCUUUCAAAAAUGAGAUUCAUGAUCAUACUAUGUGUGUGUGCAUUUUUACUUUUGCAACUGCACAGAACUAUAUGUACACUAUGGUUAAGGGUAAUAACCAGAGCUAUGUAACGAUGACAGUAAAUGAAGUUAUGAAUAAAUCAUAAAAAGGGAGGAGUGUAGUGGAGGACUUUUAUUAUGCUUUUAUUUUCAUAUUAUUAUGUUUUAUUUUUCAUCCUAUUUUUCAUUUUUUAAUAACAAUCUGAAGCUCACAAAUUGUGAUUCAUAUGGAGAUCAUGUUUUUCUGCUAACGUACAGAAUUAUGCUCUUUCUGUCUUUUCAGCAAGUACAAUGUCCAAGGAAGGACUUAAACAUCAUGUACCAGCAUGUACUGUCCUUUAUGAUUAUGUUUAACGGUCUUUGCUCUUAAUCACUGACAACUGAAGGCUAUCUUCUAAAUGACGUAGAAACGGAUGAUUGUACGUGUUUCAGCAUCUUACUAUAAAUGUGUCUUCAACCUUGUGAUCGGGGCUCUUAGGUUUUUAAACUUCUAGCACCAUGGGGGUGAGAGCCUAUUCUGCAGAAUAUAUAAAAUUCAGACAAAGAAAAUUC